AAUUAUGGACAACACAAAAAUAUUUAUUAAAAUUUAAAAACUGUUAUUCUGCACGUUCUGCAACUAAUAUUAACAUACUAGAAACUCUAGAAGAUUUUGGAAUUAGAGACGACAAUGUUUUCAUAGUUGCAUAUCCAAAAUCUGGUUCCAUCUGGACUCAGCAAAUAUUAAGCUUACUUUAUUUUGAAGGGCAUCGUAACAAAACUGAAAUUGUGUCCACAAUUGAGAGAGUCCCCUUCUUUGAAUACAGAAUGAAGCCAGACGACUUUGUCAAGAGACCAUCCCUUUGCCUCUUCAUUUCCCACAUCCCAUAUUAUUUAGCACCAAAAGGUCUCAAGAACAAAAAGGCAAAAUAUGUCACAGAAAUAGUUAAGGACCUUUUGCACAAAUACUUUCUUCAAAUAUUGUUUAAAUAUUUCUUCGAAUGUUGUUGUCCAGCCCCACUCAUUCAUAUCCUUUCAAAUGUGAUUAUUAUAAACUUUACGAUCUUGUUUUGCACAUUAAAAAUAUAUGGAAUUAUAGGUAUAUACAUAAAUUGGAUCACAACACACAUUGUUUUCAGUGUAACUAUAUAAUGUAUAGCAAAAUUUUUUUAUGUCAGCACAUAAAAUUCUAUUCGUUUUUAGUGGCCUAGUAGGAUUUUAUUUUAUAGCUAUAUAAUCCUGAAUGUGUAUUGAUGGACAGGUAGGUUGCAGCAAAUGUGUAUUACAUUGAAAUAAACAUUCUUAGAGAUCUUUUUUUUUGCACUU